UCCUUCCCCUGCGCACCCACACCCACCCUCAGAACCCCCUUCCCAGCCACAUCCACAAACAGAAGGGGAGAAAGCCUCUCUCCUUCCUGAUGGGUCUCCGUGAAGCUGUCGCUCUGUAAGGAUGCGGCCCAUGGCUGCUUGCAGGGGGCAGGGAGCGCGUGUUCUGCACUCUCAGCAGAUUGGAAGGACUGAGUCCAAGCAGGUGUAUUAAUAGAAGCUGGGCUCUAGAGGCUAGGGUGGUUUAUCAUAUGCCUCUAAACCCUGGAAACAACAGGAAUCUCGCGCAGGGGAAGCAGCAGGAGAGAGACUGCUGAGCCAGUCAAUAUCUGAAAACGCAAACAGCAGACACUGGACGUGAGGGACAGACUGGGGGACUUACACCAGAAGGGGGUCUUGGAUCAGCACGUGGUUGGAAUCAGAGAAAUCGAUCUCAAACCACCACCACCCUGCAGGCCCCCUAUGGGAUCCCCGUGGGACAGAAAAGGCUCUCCACUGUAGACGGAGCUGGAGAGAAACCAUGCUCGUUUCAAGAGCAAAGCAGAGGGACAGUGGAGCAGCCCAUUGGGCACAGAAAGGUAAGGGACAUCCCUGCUAAAAUAACUCCGUGCUACAGAGGAAAAGCGGCUAACUGUAACACAGUCAGGCUGGGUUACGCUGCAUAGAUUGGGCUCACCAAUCCGGGUACUGAGAAGUUUACCCUGAGCCUGGACUCCUUGCAAGAACCUCGAAACAGGUCUAGCAGAAGACAGAGGCAACAGCAGGUGGUGAAAAGCCACAGGCACGUGUGCAGGAGUUCCCCAGUCACAGAGCCCACUUGGAGCGGAUCAGAAAGCAAGCAGGCACCAUCUGAAAUCAAGCCACCUGCGUUGGCCUCUUAACACCAGAGGGACACAAGCAAUUAUUAACUUGCCAAUAAUCAGACACAUCAUGAACCCAGGGCCUAAAACUCCGUUUGCUGUCAUUGCUGAAGAGGCCAUCGGCGGGAGUAGGGUGAAGCUGUUCUGGUGUAAGUGGCACAGGCCAUUACUGUACAGAUGGACUGCGGUUUUCCAUAGCUGACACGAUGACUCAGACGCCGAAGUCCAGGCUGGUGACUAGGAAGGACAAACAGGUGUCUGGGGCGGAGCCAGCUGCCCCACAAGUGAAGACAGGAAUUUUCACCUAGGCAGCAUUUUUCAUCUGAGAAUCUCAAAGGAAUCUUCAAGCUCCCCAUUUCUGGGACUACCAGUGAGUCCUCAAGCAAAACCAGGAGAGACCAGACAGACGUACC